rnacentral:lncRNA from 1 species
CACCUGAACCAACCAUGCAUAUAUAUAUAUAUAUAAUCACAUGAUCAGUGUUUAAUUAUAAGUAAAAUCAACUGUGUGGGUGUCUAAAUUAAUGAAAGAAUAUAUAAAUGGGCGUACCCCGCAGCCAAACUUGAGGAAGACACCAAGAGGAGGCAAGAUGAUGGCCAACAAGAUGUCUAUGCAGUUAGCUGUUCCCUCGUCUGCCAUCUCCUUAAUUCUUCUGAAAGAUAUAUACUGCUCUUGAGAAACUCUUCUUCUUCUUAAUUUGUGGUGCUAAUAUAUUCUGCGAUAUAUAUCGAGAGUUGAAGAUUGAGGGUGGUUAUAUAGAGGCGCCCCAGAGAGCCACCCCACUUCCCACUAACACAAACUUCCGGUGUACACGUGUCCCACACGUACGCGGUCUAGUAAGACCUAGCUAGUAUAAAAAACGAAGAUCAUGUGCACUCUCUUCCUUCGUGUGAGAGUCGUUAAUUAGACGACAAAGGGAAGGGGUGGAUGGCACGCUCUUGGGUUGUAAGAAUCGCAUUCAAAUUUGAUAUUUAAUUAUGAACAGGUAGAUAGCUAAGUUUCCUCAUCACAUGGCAGGCAGAGUUAGCUGUAUCGGGCCACAACUACUCCUUCCUUCCUUCCUACGCUAGCUGCUAUGUUUGUUUGCUUUAAUUUGUCAUUCUGUAUUUCAUUUAACUUUAAUUAGUUAAUAUAUCUCUGAUCAGUUUCGUAUGAAUCGUCCUACAAUUCUUUUAAGAAAUUACAUAUUAUAAUUUAUAACUUUUCUAAACAUAAUUUCUCAAAUUAAUUAUAAUCAUAAAAAAUACCACAAUAUCAAAUAUACCCAAUUAAUCCUGUAAUUGAUAGUUUUUUUUUAUAUAGUUUAUUUAUAGUAAUGAAUAUCUUCGUAUAAUUAAUCGGUACAAGUAUUCAUAGCAAGUGACAUAGUGUCCUCUACACAUGCAUCAUUGAUACUGCAUGCGUGUGUGAGAUAUGUAUCUUGUACUAUAUAUAUUCAUCCAUUCAUGAUGCAACACGUGGAUCAAUGCGUGUCUAGCUAGCUUAGUUGUUUUGAGAUUCAAGAUUUUAAUUAAUUUCUAUACAUUAGGUUGAAGGUACGUAGAUUUAAUUGAAUUGAUUUUUUGAAUUUGUCACUAUACUUUUUUUUUAUGUGUAUUGGAAUUUGUUAAUUUUGGAAGAUGGAUACUUAACAUACUUAAUUAUAAAUCAUUAUUAGCACACUGUUAUUGGUGAGAUUGAACAUGCUCUUAACGUACGUAAUUAAAUGUUAAGAAUCAUUUAGUUUUUUUUUAUUCAAAUCAUAUAUUUCUUUUCUUUUUUCCUUACAGUUUAUUGUAAAUACAUAAAAACAUUUCCAUACAAAAACAAAUUUAGUUAUAUAUUUAAUUAAUAUUAUCGCUCUUUAUCUCUCUUUUUUCUACACAAUUUAACAUAAAUGAAUACAUUUAGCGGAUGUCUCUUAGUGAUAGCCUUUAGAUUUUCCCUUUAUAUUGUAAUUAAAAAAAAAAAAAAAACAAGAAGAGGAAGAGAGCUGGAUUGAAACGAAGUCUGGUUUGUCAAGGCACCGGCCAUUGUUUGACCACGUGAAAGCCAUUGACUUAUGGUGAUAACUAAAUGAAAUAAAAUCAGAGGGUUUCUAGGUUGCCGCGUCGAGGACGAACAGCGGCGGCGAUUGAGGCUGAAAAGGUGCAUGCAUGGCGUCGACAGACAUCGAUAUAAAUAUUGUUAUUAUCCAUGUGAAGCAGCCGUCCUUCCCAAUUCUUGUUCUUAUUUUUCAAGGCUGAUAAUAUUCUCUACUAGUUUUCUUUUUGCAUGUUUAAGUUUUUUACUUGAUAAGAAGAUUAUUCACAUCAGAAUUAAAUGAUUCAUAAAAAAUAAAUUUAUGUAUCAUUUUAAUCCACUUCUAAAUAUCUUAAUCUUUUUCUUCAGCAGUUUUUUUCUAAAACAUGUUCAUUAAGCUUUUUGAUAAUGUUAGUUUAGCUUUUUUAUAAAAAAUGAUUUUUAAAGUACUUUUCAUUUUAAAAAUUUUGUUUAUGGUGUUUUUCAUAUUUUUAAGGUGUUAAUAUUAUAUAUAUGAUUUUAAAAUAUUUUUAAUUAAAAGAUAGUUUUAUAAAAAUACCCUUUACAAAACACACACGUAACCCUACAUAUAUAUCCAUAGCAGCCCCACACGUGGCAGCUGGCUAGGUCAGUCCAUCAAUAUUGCUUCUACCUUGUAGUAACUUAGAAGAUAAGCUUAGUUUAAACUUUCGUGUGUUUUUAGUUGGUGAAAUCUCAUUUCAACAAUCCCCAAUUAAAGUCACUUCUUUUUAUUUGUAAUUUAUAUAUAUAUAUAUAUAUAUUUUUGUAAAUUUACUAAUAUAUAUUGUGAUAUAAUAUUGUAUAAUUUAUUAUUUUAAGAAUGAAUAAUCUGGCUUAGAAUCCGAUUGAAAAGGGAUUUUAAAGGAUCGAUUUACGGUAUCAUCAUACACCAUUUUUAUUUAUUUAUUGAAAUAAUCAUUAACAAUUGACCUCUAUUUAACCUCAUCAUUAAGAAGCAUGGCCAUAAAUAUUUAUUGCCGCGCAUCCUAUCGAGUAUUUUGGUCUAAAUUGUACUCUAAUGCUUGAGCCUUUACCAACCAAAGUUUUAUUUUCCCUUUACUUUUUUCUUGUCCCCAGGUCAGGUGAACACAUGUGAAUAAAAAGUAUUUUAUUUUUUAAUCUUCACGUGUCGGAUUGACACUGUGUUUGAUUCUAUUUUUUAAGUAUUCUUCAAUAAUUUUGAUAUAUUUUUUGGCAAAAAAUGUAAGCAAAUAUUUUAAUUUGUUCUUAAUUUAGUGCGGUGAAAAAACUAAAGCAAUUUACACAUGGGCUUCAAACCGAAUUAGUGUUUAGAAAGGGAUUUCCUCCACUCGAACCCACCCACAGAAAUGGGCCUGCUGUGGGUGUAAAUCAUCUCACUUUAUUGUUCUUUUCGUGGUGGGACCAUUGUUAUCAAUGGGACAGCUGUUUGUGAAUACAGGUAAGCUUGUCAGUCUACAGGACCCACAUCGAACAAGCAAAUGACCCUCCCUCUGACACUGCAGCAACAGCUCUGCCGACCCGUUUCUCUUUAAAAUACUAUUACAUGGUGAAGGAUCAAGUACUAAUACACUAUUAAAAAACCCUUUUUAAUUGGAGGUUCGAGAUUAAAAUUAACUUUAAAUCUAAUUAAAGAGCUGACUUAGGGACCCAUGUAUAUAUUAUUAAAAUAAGUAUAGUUAAAAUUAACUUCAAAUCUAGUUAAGGGCUUGAAAUAGGGACCCAUAUAUAUAUUAAAUUAAGUGAAAAAUGUUUAAAGGCAAGCCAGGUACUCAUAUCACCGGAGACCCCAUGCAUUAAACUAUCGUCAUGCUUUUAACAGCAUGAAAGAAAGUGCAUGUUUCGUAACGCAUCAUUUGAUCAUGAGUCAAUCAAUAAUAAGACCCCAUGAGUCUUGAGAAUUAAUGGAUCGAUGAAGACCACAAUUUCUGAUGCUUCCAUGUGUAUAUAUAUAUAUACACACAUCAUGCACAUGUAACUAUCACAUGCAUAGAUCAUAUCUUGUAGUAAGUGUACUCCAAUUAUUAACACCUAGAUCAUAUCUUUCUCAACACAUCAUUUUCUUCAACAAAUUAAAUUUAUUUUAAAAAAAUUAACCGUCAUACUAUAUAAUAUAUAUCCUUUAUUUUCACAGAUACUUUACAACCCUUUAAAUUUAUAGAAACAAGGAGAAAGAAACAGCUUUUGGGGGUGCUGUGCAGGCGCUCGCAACAGAGAUAUUUAGACGGUGAGAAGGAUCUUCACUUGGUGAUGGCGUAGACAGCAUAAAUAAUUCCAGGGAUGUAGCCUAAGAUGGUGAGAAGCAAGCAGAUCCAAAACUCCACCUGGACCAACCAUGCAUAUAUAAUUAAUCACAUGAUCAUAUCAGUAGUUUAAUUAUAAAUGAAAUUAACUAAUUAACUGUGUGUACAUGUGUAAAUGAAUGGAUGAAAUUAACUAAUUAACUAAUUAACGACGUACCCCGCAGCCAAACCUGAGGAAGACACCAAGAGGAGGCAAGAUGAUGGCUAUCAAGAUGUCUAUGCAUUUAACUGCCCCUGCCAUCUUCUUACUAAUUCUCUACUAAA